AGUGAACGCUGGCGGUAGGCCUAACACAUACAAGUCGAACGGCAGCACAGAGGAGCUUGCUCCUUGGGUGGCGAGUGGCGGACGGGUGAGGAAUACAUCGGAAUCUACUCUGUCGUGGGGGAUAACGUAGGGAAACUUACGCUAAUACCGCAUACGUCCUACGGGUGAAAGCAGGGGAUCUUCGGACCUUGCGCGAUUGAAUGAGCCGAUGUCGGAUUAGCUAGUUGGCGGGGUAAAGGCCCACCAAGGCGACGAUCCGUAGCUGGUCUGAGAGGAUGAUCAGCCACACUGGAACUGAGACACGGUCCAGACUCCUACGGGAGGCAGCAGUGGGGAAUAUUGGACAAUGGGCGCAAGCCUGAUCCAGCCAUACCGCGUGGGUGAAGAAGGCCUUCGGGUUGUAAAGCCCCUUUGUUGGGAAAGAAAUCCAUCUGGUUAAUACCCGGGUGGGAUGACGGUACCCAAGGAAUAAGCACCGGCUAACUUCGUGCCAGCCGCCGCCGUAA
rnacentral:rRNA from 1 species